AUUCUUCUCUAAAUGAUAAUGCUCACGGAAUUAGCCAAAUUUUUCGGCGGGGGCUGUUUUCUCUGGUAACAGUUUGACACUGGUCGUUGAUGUUGACUUGAGAACUUCAAGAGGUAGCGGAAAUAGAAUUGGUAUUGACAAGUGAAAUCCCGACCGUGGAGAUUCCCCGUGCGUUAGAGGGGAUUCUGGGAAUGAAAAUGUCACUGCCAAUUAGUGCAUCUGUGCGUCUUAAUCAGUUAAAACAGUCGCGGGCCGGUCAUUGUUUGGGUUUGAUGAGGAAAAGGAAAAUAAAGAAAUGAAAUCAUUUGUUCGGAAAGCACAAAAAGUAUAUUUGUUUGAUUAUUUUAUUUUCUUCUUCGUAUUUCGAAAAAAGUAGUGUUUUGUUUUACCCCAGGAUCCUAAAAUUUUGAAAAUGUCAACUAUUAUAAUGACGUAGGCUGACACGUGACUCUCUUUAUCGACUCUGACUUUUGGUAAAAUAUCUAUAUGAUGACCUUGAGACGUAUGUGUUGUCGAACUCAUAAAUUUCGGUAACAUGUAUUAAAAAUGUUCGUUCAACAUCUGAAUCAUAGGUAAAGCUAUUGUGAUAAAAAAUAUUCAUGUAUAUCAAUUUGUUUUACUUACCGUUUUUGACAGGAUUUGUAUUUUGAAGUGCAUGGAAGCAUUUGUUCAAUUUUAAAAAAAAUUACAAAUAUUUUACUUCUUCCAACAUGAUUUGUUUAUUUUCUGAUUCAUUUAAAAGAACAAAUUAAACGCAGAAUGUAU
rnacentral:sRNA from 1 species